UACGGGGGGGGCAAGCGUUGUUCGGAAUUACUGGGCGUAAAGGGCUCGUAGGCGGCCAACUAAGUCGGACGUGAAAUCCCUCAGCUUAACCGGGGAACUGCAUCUGAUACUGGAUGGCUUGAGAUUGGGAGAGGGAUGCGGAAUUCCAGGUGUAGCGGUGAAAUGCGUAGAUAUCAAGCGGAACACCGGUGGCGAAGGCGGCCUUCUGGACAGUGACUGACGCUGAGACGCGAAAGCGUGGGGAGCAAACAGG
rnacentral:rRNA from 1 species